CAGGCAAUAUUGUUGACCAAAGCCAGGACAAGGACACUCUCUAAAGCCUGACAGGCAGAUUCUUGCUGCUCUGGGUCCUUGGAUGCAAGGAACGGAUGGAUGAUUCUCGUCUUUGACAAGUACAAGCGCCAGAGAAGAAAAAGAAAUAUUUAAUUUCAGAGAGCCGCAAGGGACCUUAGAAGUCCUCUGUGUAGCCAAAGACUUCCAAGUGGAGUGAUUCAUGUCUACCGGCUGUAGGGGUACAGAGGCUUCUUUGAUUUCACUUGCCCAUUGAACCCCAACACCACAUUAAGUGCCUAGAGCAUAGCAGAUUCCAGUAGUAACAAGGAUGCAGAAAAGAAGGAAUGGUGCUCACUUUGAGAAAUUACAAUCAGAUACAGCACUUUCUCUGGUGUCCAAGUCUGUUUUGUCAUCCGCCAACUCCUUGCUCACCUGUACCGCUACCCUGGUUCCCCAUGGGUUGUAGGACUGACUGAGUCCAUCCGUGGCAUGUAGGGAAGAUAAAGUUUACCUUAGUAAGGACUGACCAUGAAUCAAGUGUUUCUUGCUUAUCAGUGGCUACAAGGGUGCAAAUCUCAGAGCCUGUAAGCAGUACCUGCCUGCUCUGUUCACUACUGUCACUCCACUCUUUCUCUACUAUACUACGCAAAGAAGCUCAGCAGAAUGUUCCACAGACGAAGACAUGGUAGGAGGGGAGCUGAGGCAGAUCAAGAAAAGGUAGACAGAGAUUCCUGUCAUCUCUGUCUAUCAUUUGGCACUGAUGGGCCCACAUUUCUUCCCUCUGAACCUGUCUUCUCAGCUUGCAGCAUUUUCUUCAAAAGAAGACUUAAGAGAAAGCUCCAUGUGUACAACAGAAACAAGCAGGUUGUAGGAACAGCUCUGGGCUCUAGAAGCCUCUUAGGAACCACACUCACUAGCCCUAUAUAAAGUUUUCUCUGCCACUGAACUCAGUACAGUCCUACGAUGCCUCUCCUCAAAUGAGCAUCGUGGGCUUUACAUCUUUGAACUGUGGAGUGGGAGUUCCUUAAAGCAGUAUUGUGAUUGAGAUUGUUCUUUACCUGAAGCACAGUAGUGGCCAGAGCAGCCACUGAGCACUGACUGGGGACUGGGCAAGAGAGCUGCUAUGGGUCCCACCACUGAGCCACAGUGCAGAUGGGUGACGGUGGAAUGGGACCAAGUAACAGGGGGAGCACAGGUAUAAUUUGGCCAAAGAUGCCUUGUUUGUUUGUUUAUUUGUUGUUUAGACGGGGUCUCACUAGGCAGCCUCGGUUAGAGCUCAUUAUAUGCUUGCCUCUGCCUCUGAAACACUGGGAUUGCAGAUGUGUGCAGGGUGUGAAGGUCACAGCCAGUCAAUAUGGCCACCUCCAGUAAAGUGACCUCCUCACUUGUAUAUAUUUAAAUAUACUUUCAGUGCACUGAAUAAAAUUGCACUUGUAGUAAUAAAUAUCUCUUUUCCUGGUCUCAAAGUAAGAUAAAGCCCACUCAAGUGCCUGUUG
rnacentral:lncRNA from 1 species